rnacentral:SRP_RNA from 1 species
GCUGGGUGUGGUGGAGCACACCUGUAAUCCCAGCUGCUUGGGAGGCUGAGGCAGGAGAAUUGCUUGAAAUCGGGAGGCAGAGGUUGCAGUGAGCCAAGAUGGCACCACUGCACCCCAGCCUAGGUGACAGAGCGAGAUUCUGUCUCCA